rnacentral:rRNA from 1 species
GGCGAACGCUGGCGGCGUGCCUAAUACAUGCAAGUCGAGCGGAAGUUGAAGAGCUUGCUCUUCAACUUUAGCGGCGGACGGGUGAGUAACACGUGGGCAACCUGCCCUGCAGAUCGGGAUAACUCCGGGAAACCGGUGCUAAUACCGAAUAGUUUUCGCCACCUCCUGGUGGCGUACGGAAAGACGGUUUCGGCUGUCACUGCAGGAUGGGCCCGCGGCGCAUUAGCUAGUUGGUGGGGUAACGGCCCACCAAGGCGACGAUGCGUAGCCGACGGAGGAGGGGGAUCGGCCGCACUGGGACUGAGACACGGCCCGGCCUCCUACGGGAGGCGGCAGUAGGGAAGCUUCCGAAAUGGACGAAAGUCUGACGGAGCAACGCCGCGUGAGUGACGAAGGUUUUCGGACCGUAAAACUCUGUUGUGAGGGAAGAACAAGUACCAACUAACUACUGGUACCUUGACGGUACCUCACCAGAAAGCCACGGCUAACUACGUGCCAGCAGCCGCCGUAACAC